GGAUCCAGACUUUGAUUAUGGCUCAUGAUGAACGCUAGCGGCAGGCUUAACACAUGCAAGUCGAGGGGCAGCGUGGAGUAGCAAUACUCUGACGGCGACCGGCGGAAGGGUGCGUAACACGUGAGCGACUUGCCCGAUACAGGGAGAUAACCGGUGGAAACGCCGACUAAUAUCCCAUACGACUUGAGGCUGCAUGGCCUUGAGUUGAAAGGUUCGCCGGUAUCGGAUAGGCUCGCGGGACAUUAGCUUGAUGGCGGGGCAACGGCCCACCAUGGCGACGAUGUCUAGGGGUUCUGAGAGGAAGACCCCCCACACUGGGACUGAGACACGGCCCAGACUCCUACGGGAGGCAGCAGUGAGGAAUAUUGGUCAAUGGGCGGAAGCCUGAACCAGCCAUGCCGCGUGAAGGACUAAGGCCCUAUGGGUCGUAAACUUCUUUAGACGCAGAGCAAUAAGGGCCUCGUGAGGUCCGAUGAGAGUAUGCGUAGAAUAAGCAUCGGCUAACUCCGUGCCAGCAGCCGCGGUAAUACGGGGGAUGCGAGCGUUAUCCGGAUUUAUUGGGUUUAAAGGGUGCGUAGGCGGCGAAUUAAGUCAGCGGUGAAAGACCGGGGCUCAACCCUGGAAGUGCCGUUGAUACUGAUUGGCUAGAAUACCCUUGCCGUGGGAGGAAUGAGUGGUGUAGCGGUGAAAUGCAUAGAUAUCACUCAGAACACCGAUUGCGAAGGCAUCUCACGAAGGGGCGAUUGACGCUGAGGCACGAAAGCGUGGGGAUCGAACAGGAUUAGAUACCCUGGUAGUCCACGCAGUAAACGAUGAUGGCUAACUGUCGGGCCUGAGGGUUCGGCGGCCAAGCGAAAGCGAUAAGCCAUCCACCUGGGGAGUACGACCGCAAGGUUGCAACUCAAAUGAAUUGACGG
rnacentral:rRNA from 1 species